CCUAUGGGACGCAGCAGGCGCGGAACCUCCGCAAUGUGAGAAAUCGCGACGGGGGGACCCCAAGUGCCAUUCUUAACGGGAUGGCUUUUUUUGAGUGUAAAAAGCUUGAAGAAUAAGAGCUGGGCAAGACCGGUGCCAGCCGCCGCGGUAACACCGGCAGCUCGAGUGGUAGCCAGUUUUAUUGGGCCUAAAGCGUCCGUAGCCGGCUUAUUAAGUCUUUGGUGAAAUCCUGUAGCUUAACUAUGGGAAUUGCUUGAGAUACUAGUAGGCUUGAGGUCGGGAGAGGUUAGCGGUACUCCCAGGGUAGGGGUGAAAUCCUGUAAUCCUGGGAGGACCACCUGUGGCGAAGGCGGCUAACUGGAACGAUCCUGACGGUGAGGGACGAAAGCCAGGGGCGCGAACCGGAUUAGAUACCCCAGUAGUCC
rnacentral:rRNA from 1 species